rnacentral:rRNA from 1 species
CCUACGGGGGGCAGCAGUGGGGAAUAUUGCACAAUGGGCGUAAGCCUGAUGCAGCCAUGCCGCGUGUGUGAAGAAGGCCUUCGGGUUGUAAAGCACUUUCAGCGGGGAGGAAGGCGGUGAGGUUAAUAACCUCAUCGAUUGACGUUACCCGCAGACGAAGCACCGGCUAACUCCGUGCCAGCAGCCGCGGUAAUACGGAGGGUGCAAGCGUUAAUCGGAAUUACUGGGCGUAAAGCGCACGCAGGCGGUCUGUCAAGUCGGAUGUGAAAUCCCCGGGCUCAACCUGGGAACUGCAUUCGAAACUGGCAGGCUAGAGUCGUGUAGAGGGGGGUAGAAUUCCAGGUGUAGCGGUGAAAGGCGUAGAGAUCUGGAGGAAUACCGGUGGCGAAGGCGGCCCCCUGGACAAAGACUGACGCUCAGGUGCGAAAGCGUGGGGAGCAAACAGGAUUAGAUACCCCAGUAGUC